rnacentral:rRNA from 1 species
UACGGAGGGUGCAAGCGUUAAUCGGAAUUACUGGGCGUAAAGCGUGCGUAGGCGGCCCGUUAAGUCAGAUGUGAAAGCCCCGGGCUCAACCUGGGAACUGCAUUUGAAACUGGCGGGCUAGAGUUGGGUAGAGGUAAGUGGAAUUUCAGGUGUAGCGGUGAAAUGCGUAGAUAUCUGAAGGAACACCAGUGGCGAAGGCGACUUACUGGACCCGAACUGACGCUGAGGUACGAAAGCGUGGGUAGCAAACAGG